rnacentral:rRNA from 1 species
AAACAUGUCUUAAAGAAUUUAAUUUUAAGUCAGAUCUGCCCAAUGAAUAAUUUAAAUGGCUGCAGUAUUUUUAACUGUACAAAGGUAGCAUAAUAAUUUGUUUUUUAAUUAAAAACUAGAAUGAAAGAUUUAAUGAGAUAAAAACUGUUUCAAAUAAAUUUAUUAAAUUUAUUAUUUAAGUAAAAAAACUUAAAUUUUUUAUAAAGACGAUAAGACCCUAUAGAAUUUUAUUUAUUUAUUAAAAAAAAUUUUUUGAAUGAAUUUAAUUGGGGUAAUAAAAAAAUUAAAUAAAUUUUUUUUAAAUUUUAACAUAAAUUAAUGAAUUUAAUAAAUUAAAAUAUAUCUUAAUUUUUAGAUUAAAAAAAUUAAUUACCUUAGGGAUAACAGCAUAAUUUUUUUUAAGAGUUCUUAUCAAUAAAAAAGAUUAUGACCUCGAUGUUGAAUUAAGAUAAAAUUUAAAUGCAAAAAUUUAAAAAUUUAAGUCUGUUCGACUUUU